UCCUACGGGACGCAGCAGUGGGGAAUAUUGCACAAUGGGCGAAAGCCUGAUGCAGCAACGCCGCGUGAAGGAAGAAGGGUUUCGGCUCGUAAACUUCUAUCAACAGGGACGAAAGAAAUGACGGUACCUGAAUAAGAAGCCCCGGCUAACUACGUGCCAGCAGCCGCGGUAAUACGUAGGGGGCAAGCGUUAUCCGGAUUUACUGGGUGUAAAGGGAGCGUAGACGGCUAAUCAAGUCAGAAGUGAAAACCCAGGGCUCAACCUUGGGAGUGCUUUUGAAACUGAGUAGCUA
rnacentral:rRNA from 1 species